AGCCUAAAGAAUUAUUUUAGGUGAAGCCUGCCCAGUGCUAAUAAGUAAACGGCCGCAGUACCUUGACUGUGCUAAGGUAGCAUAAUCAGUUGGCUUUUAAAUGGAGUCGGGUAUGAAUGGAUUUAUGUGGUCAAGCUGUCUCAAACAUAUUAAAUUGAAUUUAUUUAAUAGGUGAAAAUGCCUAUCUAUUAGAAAAAAGACGAGAAGACCCUAGGAGUUUUUAUAAAAAAGUUAGUUUUAACUUUACAUUUUUGUUGGGGCGACAUGGGAACACUAUCAACUUCCCUUAAAUUACAAGCCGAUUUAUUAAUAUCGUGGGAUAAACUACCCUAGGGAUAACAGCGUAAUCCUUGUUGGGUUUGCGACCU
rnacentral:rRNA from 1 species